rnacentral:rRNA from 1 species
GAUGAACGCUAGCGGGAGGCCUAACACAUGCCAGCCGAGCGGUAGAGUUUCUUCGGAAACUUGAGAGCGGCGCACGGGUGCGUAACACGUGUGCAACCUACCUUUAUCUGGGGGAUAGCCUUUCGAAAGGAGGAUUAAUACCCCAUAAUAUAAUGAUUGGCAUCAAUUAUUAUUGAAAACUCCGGUGGAUAGAGAUGGGCACGCGCAAGAUUAGAUAGUUGGUGAGGUAACGGCUCACCAAGUCAAUGAUCUUUAGGGGUCCUGAGAGGGAGAUCCCCCACACUGGUACUGAGACACGGACCAGACUCCUACGGGAGGCAGCAGUGAGGAAUAUUGGACAAUGGGUGAGAGCCUGAUCCAGCCAUCCCGCGUGAAGGAUGACGGUCCUAUGGAUUGUAAACUUCUUUUGUACAGGGAUAAACCUACCCUCGUGAGGGUAGCUGAAGGUACUGUACGAAUAAGCACCGGCUAACUCCGUG